UUAUUGGGUCGUCGAUAGUAAGGAAGGAGAUGGAAAGAGUUAGGAUCUUGAAAUGUGAAGCUGAAAGAACAUUUUUUGAAAUUCUGUACGAAGGAAGAAUAAGAGGGCACCUUCCUUUGCGUGCCGGGCAGAUAGGAUCUUGAACUAACGGAAAGAUACAUUUUUCAUUGCUGAAUUUAAAAAACAGGAUCUAUUAGUAUGAUGAGCAUCUCCAAGAUUACAGUGAACUCAGACAUUGUUAUACCACCAGUUAAGGAUGGUCUCAUGAAUUAUUUAUACUGGAAUUACCAAUGAGCUGCCAUAAGUGGAAUGAAAAAAAUGGGAGAAUUAAAUUCUGUGUUCCAAAGAAAAAUAGAGACUACAAGCUGUAAUUGAAGAUUGUAUCUCAAGAACUUGCUUAAUAUUUAAGUAUGUAGCCUUAUACCUGUAGAACUUGUUUUUUUUUUUUUUUUUAAACUUUGAAAGUCUAAUGACAUGGUAGGGAGGGGAGAGAUGGUGAAAGUAAUAAGAUAUAUUUUAUUAUGUAUCUUAAAUCAUUUUCUCCCAAGUGGAUGCUGUGCUUAGAAUCUAGUUAUCCAUUUUGUAGUGUAGUGGAUAUAUUUUUGAAACUAUUGACAUACAGAAAGUGCUGUUGCAUA